GCCGGGAUGGCCGAGCGGUCUAAGGCGGCGCACUCAAGAUGCGUUUUCGUAAGAAGCGCGAGUUCGAAUCUCGCUUCCGGCA
rfam:Anaeromyces robustus strain S4 BCR32scaffold_56, whole genome shotgun sequence.